GGUAGCAGGACCACGUAGGGUAAGGGAAGAGAGAAACAAGGACUCGUAUAGUGUUGUAGGAACUAACUGAUGAAUUUUCCUUUGGAUGUGUCUAAAGUGUGAGUUUAGUAAUGAAAUUUUCUGAAAACAUCUGGACAGCAGGAGGUAGCACUGAAGAUGCUAUUGGUUCCGUUACAGAUGACUGCAACAAAACUGACUAAAACCAGAAAAUACAGAUCCUGAAUGCUUGGACAAUGCCAAGAGCUUCAAAACUUUGAGAAUGUGGCAGAGGGAGAAAGGAAGCAAGUGGGUUUUGCUUCUAGGAAAUCCACACCCUAGAAUAGGAAACUGAAAUGAUGUCUCAGCAUGCUAUGCUACUAGAUCCCAAGGUUCAAAAGUGGGAGCUCCAGAGUUCACUCUGGACUGGGCAACUUAGAGUCGGACGUAAUCUUUCCACGUGGGAAAGCUAUUACAUGUCAGCUUACGCCUUUGUGGGCCAGUGGAGUAGGAAAUGCCUUAAGGACAGUGGCACAGUAAGACAGUAAUUCUUGUGUGAAUCUCUACCAAUUACUGGAUAUUGUUUAUCUGUAGAGCUAGAUUUAAGCUGCUACAUCCAGACCAAAAUUCUUAAAAUUGACACAGAACUCAUGCCUGAGGCUUUUCCUUUUCUUGUUUGUUUGUGACUCAUUGCCAGACAACAUGGAAAUGUUAAGUAAUCUCAGGAAAGCUGAUAGGAAAUGUUCUGCUAAGAGAAAUUUCGACACAGUAGGAGGGGAAUUUUUCAGCAGAAAUAAACAUCUCUUUUCUGCUUUUCUUUUUGUUUUAAACA